CAACAACGCUAGCACAGCACCGGGGCUUGGCGCAGCAAGGGGGGAGGGAGCAAGAACAAAGCUUGCUGGUUGAGAUGGGGCGGAGAUCUAGGAACUACUCGGCUGCAGCUCAACCGGAUCUUGCUUCUUGCUCUUCAAUGGCUGCUGCCAAGAAGAUGCCCGUCCUGAACACCCCCUACAAUGCCGGUAUGAUCCAAACGAUUGCCGGGGAGUGGAACCCCAACAUCAUGUCUGUUUUCGCGGGGGUAGGGAUGGAGCAGUUUUGCAAGCUCAAGGCUUUAGGCAAUAAUAAUCGCAUAUUUUCCAUGUCCCUGCUCGCUAGGAUAGAUCCUAAAACUAUGAAGAUGGACAUGGGGGACGGAAACUUUGUUGUGAUUGACUCUAGGGAGGUAGCAAAAUGCAUAGGAUUGAACCCUAGCGGGAAAAAGAUCGAUAUCCGGGCUGGUGCUUGCUUGCCAGACCGGGAAGAGUUACUAGGGAAGUUUCAUGCCAUCUUAGAGACUGGCAUGCCCAAAACAUGCAAGAUUCCAAUUGUGAGAGUUAAAAAGAUAGUGCAAAACACUAGCAAAGUAGCAAUCGUGGGGCGGAGAGAGAGAGAGAGAAAAUGAUGGCCGCGUGCACAAUCCUCGCAGCAUCCACAUUUCUUCUUCCUAGAGGAGCCCAUCCGAAGAUUUCGAAUGAGCUGUUGCCUGUUCUUGCUGAGCCGAACAAAAUAUCGGAAUAUGAUUUGUGUGACUACGUGGUGGAGGGGUUGAGAGAGGCUGCAGCAAAACUGAGGGAUGAUUUGUUGCAUGACCCAUCUCAGCUUUCUCUUCAGGGGUGCCUCCUUGUUCCUCAGAUCAUCUUCUGUGACUACCAUGAGCAUGGCAUGGAAGGGCGUGAGCAGCUACCACUUCCUCGGAUGGCGUCGUACUCCGAUCUGUUGAUGAAGCUUCAGAUACGCAAGCACGCAACCAAGAACGGAGUGGAUGCAGGCUUCGAGGUAUCUGAUGUCCCCUGAUCGCCGGCAAUUAAUGUGCCGUCCGGGAGUGCACCGCCUGCGUAUUCUUGGACCACCCCAAGCCCUGGUGUGUGCGCCGCCCAGCCUGGAUUUGCUGUGGCCCAUGGGACAGAGAUACCUGCGCAGAUUCUGGCUGCACUUAAGGAGGCAGUGGCACAUCAGUUCAAGAAAAGGGAGGAGGAGUUCUUGAAGAUGGUGGACGAUGCCAAGGAGAAGGUGCUGGCGGAAAUACGGUGCAAGACGGAAGCCAAACGACAGAGAGAACUAGAAGACACACUAGAGGAUUUCAUGGACAGGGUGAAGAGGCAGGCUCCAAUGGCGGUGGCGUUCCCCAACGUCACACCGUCUUCUCAUGUGCCAAGAAGCAAAAUAGAUAUCGUGCAAGACCUAGCUACUACUUCACGUGAAGCUGCUCAAUCUCUGAUGGUUGCUGUGGUCCGUAACGAGGAAACACGUAGCCCCCCAGCUGGGGAAACAGGUAUUUCACUAGCCUCUGGAAGCAAGAACCAUAACGUGCAUGUGCCUCCGAUGGAGCAUGGAAAAGGUAUACAAUUGAUUAGAAACCAUUCUUAAUUAGCCGCG